rnacentral:rRNA from 1 species
ACGUGCCUUUCACUACGGAAUAGUCCCGGGAAACUGGGUUUAAUACCGUAUACGCCCUUCGGGGGAAAGAAUUUCGGUGAGAGAUCGGCCCGCGUCUGAUUAGGUAGUUGGCGGGGUAAUGGCCUACCAAGCCGACGAUCAGUAGCUGGUUUGAGAGGAUGAUCAGCCACACUGGGACUGAGACACGGCCCAGACUCCUACGGGAGGCAGCAGUGAGGAAUCUUGGACAAUGGGGGCAACCCUGAUCCAGCCAUGCCGCGUGAACGAUGAAGGCCUUAGGGUUGUAAAGUUCUUUCAACGGUGAAGAUAAUGACGGUAGCCGUAGAAGAAACCCCGGCUAACUCCGUGCCAGCAGCCGCGGUAAUACGGAGGGGGUUAGCGUUGUUCGGAAUUACUGGGCGUAAAGCGCACGUAGGCGGACUAUUAAGUCAGGGGUGAAAUCCCGGGGCUCAACCCCGGAACUGCCUUUGAUACUGGUAGUCUAGAGUUCGAGAGAGGUGAGUGGAAUUCCGAGUGUAGAGGUGAAAUUCGUAGAUAUUCGGAGGAACAC